rnacentral:lncRNA from 1 species
AAAAAACAUGAUGAUAGUUGAUACUUACUUUAAUGCUGAAGUGUCAUCUGCAGACCAAUUCACAUAUAAGAUUUUUCAACAGAAUGCUCUUCAGAACAUGGUUAACACUGAAAUAAAAAAUUCACAUGUUGUAUAAACAAAACUGUAAGGGUAAUUUAAAAUUUAACACAGUAAACUAAAUACAGCUUUGUCUGUCCACCCAUUUGACUUAGAAAACACCCGUAAACCCCCAUUUCAAGGCAAUUUUACCUCAAACGUGCUUUCUGUGUCUAAAUCCAUUCCGAAUAGUCCAUGUUUACAAUGUAUGAACUGGUUUAUUAAUAACUUUUAAAAAUGAAAGUACAAUAAGGUCACGAGUGCACAUUCCCUAAAUAGGUGUAAUACCACCAUUGAUUUUUCCCUAUUAGUCUUUGUUAAAUUGGCACUUUUAAAAAAAAUGUACAGUAUUUACCUUUAUUUCAACCAAAGAAAUACUUUGCAUGUGUAAAGUUUAAUCCUUUCCAGUGCUACAGUGAAAAUUUCACACUACAUUUCAUUGCAUAUAAGAAAGUAACCAUCACCGGAAGUAAACAACCCAAUUUUUACACUGGUUAUUUACUGGUUACCUGCUUUGGUAACUAUGUAACCUUAACUUUCCAAAAUAUUUUAUAAGACCAUCAAAUAAAAAAAGAAUGAUGCUUUCAGACACCCAACAUACAUAUUUAUGACUCAGAA